rnacentral:rRNA from 1 species
GACGAACGCUGGCGGCGUGCUUAACACAUGCAAGUCGAGCGGUAAGGCCCUUUCGGGGGUACACGAGCGGCGAACGGGUGAGUAACACGUGGGUGACCUGCCCUCAGCUCUGGGAUAAGCCUGGGAAACCGGGUCUAAUACUGGAUAUGACUCCAUGACGCAUGUUGUGGGGUGGAAAGCCUUGUGCGGCUGAGGAUGGGCCCGCGGCCUAUCAGCUUGUUGGUGGGGUGAUGGCCUACCAAGGCGACGACGGGUAGCCGGCCUGAGAGGGCGACCGGCCACACUGGGACUGAGACACGGCCCAGACUCCUACGGGAGGCAGCAGUGGGGAAUCUUGUGCAAUGGGCGAAAGCCUGACGCAGCGACGCCGCGUGAGGGAUGACGGCC